rnacentral:rRNA from 1 species
CCUCUUUCAGCAGGGAAGAAGCGCAAGUGACGGUACCUGCAGAAGAAGCGCCGGCUAACUACGUGCCAGCAGCCGCGGUAAUACGUAGGGCGCAAGCGUUGUCCGGAAUUAUUGGGCGUAAAGAGCUCGUAGGCGGCUUGUCGCGUCGGUUGUGAAAGCCCGGGGCUUAACCCCGGGUCUGCAGUCGAUACGGGCAGGCUAGAGUGUGGUAGGGGAGAUCGGAAUUCCUGGUGUAGCGGUGAAAUGCGCAGAUAUCAGGAGGAACACCGGUGGCGAAGGCGGAUCUCUGGGCCAUUACUGACGCUGAGGAGCGAAAGCGUGGGGAGCGAACAGGAUUAGAUACCCUGGUAGUCCACGCCGUAAACGUUGGGAACUAGGUGUUGGCGACAUUCCACGUCGUCGGUGCCGCAGCUAACGCAUUAAGUUCCCCGCCUGGGGAGUACGGCCGCAAGGCUAAAACUCAAAGGAAUUGACGGGGGCCCGCACAAGCAGCGGAGCAUGUGGCUUAAUUCGACGCAACGCGAAGAACCUUACCAAGGCUUGACAUACACCGGAAAGCAUCAGAGAUGGUGCCCCCCUUGUGGUCGGUGUACAG